ensembl:lncRNA novel transcript
UAACCAAACUUGUUUAUCUUACAAGACAAAUUAUAUGUGCUUUCAUUUUUCUUCUGCUGAAAAUUAUACUUUUUCCUUUUUAAUCCAUUCUUUCCUGAGGAACAUCUUGGUUUAUAAGCUGAAUGGGAAUUUAACAGAAAGAAUUUUUGAACCCAUUUCUCUUUCCUUCCCUACCUUCCCAGAAUAAGCUUGAUUUUAGGAUUACUAUUUCUUUUAGUAAAGGUACUGGUAAUUCCUUUGGAUUAGAAAUUUGUUUUUAUCUUAUUAAAUUCUGUUGACUCUAGUGCCCAAGAGUAGAGUAUCUUGCUUAAGUUUGAAAUACGAAAUAUUUGGCCGGGCUGGUCUCGAACUCCUGACCUCAAGUGAUCUGCCUCGGCCUCCCAAAGUGCUGGGAUUACAGGCGUGAGCCACCGCGGCCGGCCUGCAACAUUUUUUUUUUCCUAAAUUUCUUUGAGUUUUAAAUUGACAUUGGAAGUGCAGUAUUCAAGAAAGAGACCAUACUAUUGUUACUGUUGCAAUUCAAUUUUGUACUCAGUCACUGUAAGUCAUGUUAAACACUCUAGAGCAGAUUCUUUACUAUUUUUUUUUGUCAGUUAAGCUCAAGAUUAACUUCUCUUUUUCUUCCUCUAU